CCCUCCUCUUGGAGUGUCUUUCCCAUUGCUAGGUCUGUACUGAUAUGGCUGUCUCUAAGCCAACCCUCCUCUUGGAGUGUCUUUCCCCAUUGUUAGGUCUGUACUGAUAUGGCUGUCUCUAAGCCAACCCUCCUCUUGGAGUGUCUUUCCCCAUUGUUAGGUCUGUACUGAUAUGGCUGUCUCUAAGCCAACCCUCCUCUUGGAGUGUCUUUCCCCAUUGAUAGGUCUGUACUGAUAUGGCUGUCUCAAAGCCAACCCUCCUCUUGGAGUGUCUUUUCCCAUUGUUAGGUCUGUACUGAUAUGGCUGUCUCUAAGCCAACCCUCCUCUUGGAGUGUCUUUCCCCAUUGUUAGGUCUGUACUGAUAUGGCUGUCUCUAAGCCAACCCUCCUCUUGGAGUGUCUUUCCCCAUUGUUAGGUCUGUACUGAUAUGGCUGUCUCUAAGCCAACCCUCCUCUUGGAGUGUCUUUCCCCAUUGUUAGGUCUGUACUGAUAUGGCUGUCUCUAAGCCAACCCUCCUCGUGGAGUGUCUUUCCCCAUUGUUAGGUCUGUACUGAUAUGGCUGUCUCUAAGCCAACCCUCCUCGUGGAGUGUCUUUCCCCAUUGUUAGGUCUGUACUGAUAUGGCUGUCUCUAAGCCAACCCUCCUCUUGGAGUGUCUUUCCCCAUUGUUAGGUCUGUACUGAUAUGGCUGUCUCUAAGCCAACCCUCCUCUUGGAGUGUCUUUCCCCAUUGUUAGGUCUGUACUGAUAUGGCUGUCUCUAAGCCAACCCUCCUCUUGGAGUGUCUUUCCCCUUUGUUAGGUCUGUACUGAUAUGGCUGUCUCUAAGCCAACCCUCCUCGUGGAGUGUCUUUCCCAUUGCUACAGGCUGUUGCUCCAGCUCAUACCUUUUUGUUGGGGGUAUGUUUUGAAUCUGUGCUUGAGAGUGGGAAAGUUCCUAUAGAGAAGGGCGCUACAUUCCUUAUCACGGUGUGUUUGCCAGUACACACACUCUUGUGACACACGUGUGUGUUUAAAACAGAAUAUCUCUCUCUGCUGAAUGCAUUGGUUAUUUUAAACAAGGUGCUUAGAGAAUGCUUCUAUUGCUCCUAUGCAGUCUUUCCCCAUGACACAAAAACAGACUCCUUAAUAAAGCCACAGAUUCAAUUUGAAUAGCAUUAAUAAAUAGUGAAAUUUGCAAACGGAAUGCUUCAAAUUCCCCAAAAUACGAAUAACAUUAAAAGUUGGAUCUGGGGACCGCAUAUUUUGUUUUUGGGUAAAAUUAGAAAGGAGUUGUUUUUAUUCCUAUUGUUACACAUGCAUUAUGUUUGGGAGCAAUGGGAAAUAAAAAACAAAAAGUUGUUUGCACACAAAACAGAUAUAUACAUCUUAGCAAGAUUCGUCCACCUCUUUCAGCUA